UGCAGUUAGUGCUCUGUUGCUCCAGAUUCCCAGGUAACUUGGCUCUGCUGAGCUGUGCUUGUCCCAGUGAGCCAGAGCUCUACCUCCCUGGACGUGCAGCAGCCCCAAGAGCUGCCUCCCCUCAGUGGGAAGGGUGCAGGUGACCCCACUGGCCACCUUGAGCACCAAAGAAGGUAUCCCAAGGGUGUGCCCAAAGCCUGGUGGCUCUCAAGGUCCUGGGUGGCAUUGCCCCAGGGGUGACACCCCCAUGCUGUGGACAUGAUUCUAGGCUCAGCUUGAUGCUCAGCUUGCCACCGAGGCCCCUGGCCGUUACUGUAUUUUCGCCCCACCUGGGUAAGUUGGUGGUCACACCUCCUCCUGAGCUCUUGCACCUUGCCCUUCUCUCACGAGGUCCUCAGAUUUCCUCUAUUUCAGGGGAAAGCUGUUCUCCCUGAACCCGGGAGUUGUAGGCCCUCUCUGCCUUGUUCACUCACUAGUGAACGCCUGGCCCCUAUCCUCUACAUGAACAAAGACCUGAGCGGCCACAUGAUAGGAGGCUGCCCGCCUCUGUCCAGGUAAUGGUCCAGCCCUGAGCAGCCCAGGCACCCAGGAACCCAGGUGAAAUCACACAUCCUUCUCUUCCUAUUGAAACGGCUCUCUACAGCUUGGCCCAUCACAACCAGCAGCCAUGUGCUGUGCACGGGGAGGUUGCGGGGAGCAGGGGCCAUGAGGAGAGGGCCGCUUGGUCCAGUGUUUCAUGGCGUCUCACACUCUGCGAGUAGGAGGUGGCUCAUGCCUGAGUUAAAAAGGGGUGCUCCUAAUCCUGGCCAGGAUGGAGUAACAGGCUGUUGUUUCCUGCUGAAGACAACCAUAGAACCAGAACACUUGAAAUGGUAGUUUUCCAGAUACUGGAUAUCAGGGAAAUGCACUGAUCCCUGAAAGACAGGGAACAAACCAUUGCCCACCAUUGCGCCUUGAGGGUCCAGGCACGGUGCAGAGAGAGGAACCUGGGCAGAUCCCAGAAGACUCCCUGAGUUGCAGAAAUGGAGCUGAGAGCCCGAGAGGGCCCAGUGGUUAGAGUUCUCCAGACGGGCGUGGGAGAGGACUCAGGGGUGUGCAGAGGGCUCAUCAGAUAGAUGCCCAGAAACAGAUCUCUGUGCACAGCUGGGGAGACUACUGGAGGCCUGUGAGAGAAUCACCCUAAAGGACCAAGGGGACAGUGCUCACAGAGGCCCGGUUCUGUUCCCACGGGCCAGCAUGGAACACCUCACAUGGACAUUUGGUAGUUGGGGGUGGAGGGCACAGAAAUGUGGUGAAGAAUAAUGAGCCCUAGACUGAGUACUUAUCCACGCCUGCCUAUACAUCAUGAAAGCAAGACCCAGAAGGAUUAAGCCGGUCCCAGGUAACUUAACUGCAUCCCAGAACCAGUCUCAAGCAUAUUUAGUGAAAAACAAAAACAUCCAGUGUGCAAAACCAUAAAAUUUUACAAAUGUCAAGUAUCUAACCAAGGAUUACGGGGCAUGCAAAGAAGUAGAGUAUGACCCAUAAUGAGGAUUAUUAUUAAUCAGAAUUAACAUGAAUGUUGCAAUUAGCAAAAAGAAAAAAAGGACAUAAAAUAGUUGUUAUAGGGGCUGGGAUUGUGGCUCAGCGGUAGAGCGCUAGCCUAGUGCGGGUAGGACCUGGGUUCCAUCCUCAGCACCACAUAAAAAUAAAGGCAUUGUGUUGUGUCCAUCCACACCUAAAAAAUAAAUAUUAAAAAAAUAGUUGUUAUAACUAAAUUCCACAAGAUCAAAUAACUAAGUAGAGAUGUGUAAUUUUUUUAAAAAAGACUCGAAUCAGACUUUAUCAAAAACUAUAAUAAGAAAUGAAAAAUACAUUGGAUGGCAUUAACAGAAAAUUAGACUUUGUAAAAGAUCAAUGAACUUGACAAUAUAAUGAUAAAAAUUAUCCACAAUGAAGAAUACAGAGAAAAAAGAAUCCCCCAAAUAAAGACUAUCAGUGGGAUGUAGGUCAACUUCAAGUAGCCUAACACAAGUAGCCUAACACUUGUGUAACCGGAAUCCCUGAAGAGAAGAUGGGGAAUAGAAAAAAAAUUAGAGUAAAAAUAACCAAACAUUUUCCAAAACAAAGUUGUAAACCACAAAUCUGAGAACUCAACUCCAUGAGGAAAACACCAAGGCAAAUCAUAAGCAAGUCAUAAUUUUUUUUAAAAAAAGUGAUAAAUAAAACAUCUUAAAAGCAGCCAGAGGGGGAAAAAGACAUUACAUCCAGA
rnacentral:lncRNA from 1 species